UGGGGAAUUUUGGACAAUGGGCGCAAGCCUGAUCCAGCCAUGCCGCGUGUCUGAAGAAGGCCUUCGGGUUGUAAAGGACUUUUGUCAGGGAAGAAAAGGCUGUUGCUAAUACCGACAGCUGAUGACGGUACCUGAAGAAUAAGCACCGGCUAACUACGUGCCAGCAGCCGCGGUAAUACGUAGGGUGCGAGCGUUAAUCGGAAUUACUGGGCGUAAA
rnacentral:rRNA from 1 species